UACGUAGGGGGCAAGCGUUGUCCGGAAUCAUUGGGCGUAAAGAGCGUGUAGGCGGUCCGGUCAGUCGGUUGUGAAAGUCAAGGGCUCAACCCUUGAAUGCCGGCCGAAACUGCCGGGCUAGAGUCCGGAAGAGGUGAGUGGAAUUCCGGGUGUAGCGGUGAAAUGCGUAGAUAUCCGGAGGAACACCGGUGGCGAAGGCGGCUUCCUGGACCGACACUGGACGCUGAGGCGCGAAAGCUAGGGGAGCAAACGGGAUUGAGAAACCCCUGGUAGUC
rnacentral:rRNA from 1 species